UACAGAGGGUGCGAGCGUUUAAUCGGAAUAACUGGGCGUAAAGGGCGCGUAGGCGGUGAGAUAAGCUGGUUGUGAAAGAAUUGGGCUUAACCUAAUAAAGCAAAACAGGACUGUCAAACUAGAGAUAAGGAGGAGGUGAGAAGAAUUUUCCGGAGUAGCGGUGAAAAUGCGUAGAUACCGGAAAAGAAUACCAGAAGCGAAGGCGACUCACUGGACUUAGACU
rnacentral:rRNA from 1 species